GGGGACAUGCAGCUCACCCGGUGCGCGGAGAGGAGCUGCACGGAGGCGACGCGUCGGAGGUUGCGCCAGUAGGGCCCGUAGCUGGCCAUGGAGAGUGAGUUGCCGCCGAAGGACACGAGCUUCUGCGAGGGGAACAGCGGGCGGUUGGCGAAGGCGAUGUCGUGCUCCGUGAAGCACUCCCUGGCGCACUCCGGCGCGGAAACCACCACGGCGCGGCGGGACCCCAUGCGCAUGGAGAACACCGGGCCGUGGCGCGCGGCGAGGCGUGCCAGCGCCGCGUGGAACGGCGUCUUGACGAGGUGGAGGUGGCCGAGGAACGGGACGGCUGGAGGGCUCGGAGGCAGCCGCCGCGCAGCCUUGUUCCCCUUGCCAUUUCCCUUGCCGCCGUUGCCGCCGCCGCCAACACGGGCCACGAGGUAGUGGAGCACGAAGAGGAAGGCGAAGGUGAGGACGGCCACGUAGGCCUUAUCCAUGGCUGUGGAACAGGAGAAGCGGUGGUUGACGAGCUUCUGAAUGAUUGAUCGCAAC
rnacentral:lncRNA from 1 species